AUAUGCCUUGGACCAAUUCGGUUGCCUGUGUUGUAUACCUACGUUGAUGGAAUUCGCUCGUCCAAUCGCCCCUUAUUCACCUUGUGCUGCUUACGCGGUGCAGGAUGAACCAUGCAGUGUCCUUUGUUGGGCAUUCUUGCCUUGCGUUCGCGCGAUGCAGGAAAUGGCCAAUGUCUGACACUCGAAUUCUCGGAUACGGAACCUUAAGCGGGCAACGGGUCUUUGGCCUUGAUUUGCCCAAACUAAGUUCUUACGAACGACUGUCGUGCCCGUUUUGACCUGAGGAUGCUUUUGGUCCGACUGGCUCAUGCGGUGCAGACGUC
rnacentral:misc_RNA from 1 species